UCCUUCCUUUUCUUAGCACAAACUCUUUCACCAAAUUUCUCUUUCUUUCUUGCUAAGUAUACACUCUUGAAGAUGGCUGAUCUUGGAAACACUCUCAUGAAAAAUAUAAUACGAACUCGGUGGAGUAUUAGCCUGUUUGGAAGAUCCACAUUCAGAAGGUGAAAGUGGUGGAGAAAAAGAAUGCUUCCAUGGGUGUGUGGGUGUACGAGAAAAGAUAGCAUUUUGUGUUAAAGUUUGUGACCCGAGUUCUAUUGAUCCAACCAUGAAAAGUUCGCGGUGCGACCCAUGUUUGUGAUUUGUAAGCGCGUAUUAUAUAAGUGCCGCAAUUAGUGGGUCAUUUUAGGACGUUCAGAAAAUACGUCAUUGUACUCAUUGUAUUCUCCAUCCAUUAUAGUGAAAUUCCUUUGCCUCUGUCCGUGGUUUUUCCCGCAAGGAUUUCCACGUAAAUCUGUGUGUUCAUCUUGUUUUUCCUUUGCUUGUGGUAUUGCUUAUUCUGUCCGAUUAUAACAAUUUGAGAUAAGGUGGGACUGACUUCGGUGAAAGCCAAGAUGAGGGAAGUGAGGUUGAGAUGGUUCGGUCAUGUGAUGAGGAAGGGCACGAUGUCCCAGCGUGAAAGUGUGAGAGGUUGGUUAGGGAUGGAUUCAAGCGAGGUAAAGGUAGACCGAAGACAAAUUAUAUUGGAGGGAGGUGAUUAGACAUGAUCGACAUGAAACAACUCCAGCUUAUUGAGAACAUGACCCUAAAUAGGAAGUUGUGGAGGAGGCAGAUUGGGGUAGAAUGUUAGUACGAGUUUAGGAUGCUGUAUCUUUUAUUGCAUUCUUUGUGUAUCUUGUAUGUGGUAUUAUUGGAUGACAUUGAUUUAUAUUGUAUCUUGUCCAUUUACCAUUUCUUGUAUAGAUUAUUUUAUUUUGAGUCGAGGGUCUAUCGGAAACAACCUCUUUAUCUCACAUCUGAGGUAGUGGUAUGGACUGCGUACGUUUACCCUCUAGACCCCACUUGAUAGAAAUAUACAGGAUAUGUUAUUGUUGUCGUAGUAAAUUCUUUUAUGUAUUAAAUCCUCUCUUAGACAUAUAUUCACUCACAAAAAUAUCUUAAUAAUUUUCAAGUUAUAUUUAUAUUUAUAUCCAAGCACAACUUCAAAUUUCAAAUAUUUUUUUUUCAAUUUUCAUAUUUUUUAUAUCUAAAUAAAUUUAUCACUUGCAUAUAUUUUUCUUUGAUAUGACAGUUAUAAUGGCUCCA